rnacentral:rRNA from 1 species
GCAGUCAGAGGCGAUGAAGGACGUGCUAAUCUGCGAUAAGCGUCGGUGAGGUGAUAUGAACCGUUAUAACCGGCGAUUUCCGAAUGGGGAAACCCAGUGUGUUUCGACACACUAUCAUUAACUGAAUCCAUAGGUUAAUGAGGCGAACCGGGGGAACUGAAACAUCUAAGUACCCCGAGGAAAAGAAAUCAACCGAGAUUCCCCCAGUAGCGGCGAGCGAACGGGGAGGAGCCCAGAGCCUGAAUCAGUGUGUGUGUUAGUGGAAGCGUCUGGAAAGGCGUGCGAUACAGGGUGACAGCCCCGUACACAAAAAUGCACAUAUUGUGAGCUCGAUGAGUAGGGCGGGACACGUGGUAUCCUGUCUGAAUAUGGGGGGACCAUCCUCCAAGGCUAAAUACUCCUGACUGACCGAUAGUGAACCAGUACCGUGAGGGAAAGGCGAAAAGAACCCCGGCGAGGGGAGUGAAAAAGAACCUGAAACCGUGUACGUACAAGCAGUGGGAGCCUCUUAAUGGGGUGACUGCGUACCUUUUGUAUAAUGGGUCAGCGACUUAUAUUCUGUAGCAAGGUUAACCGAAUAGGGGAGCCGAAGGGAAACCGAGUCUUAACUGGGCGUUAAGUUGCAGGGUAUAGACCCGAAACCCGGUGAUCUAGCCAUGGGCAGGUUGAAGGUUGGGUAACACUAACUGGAGGACCGAACCGACUAAUGUUGAAAAAUUAGCGGAUGACUUGUGGCUGGGGGUGAAAGGCCAAUCAAACCGGGAGAUAGCUGGUUCUCCCCGAAAGCUAUUUAGGUAGCGCCUCGUGAAUUCAUCUCCGGGGGUAGAGCACUGUUUCGGCAAGGGGGUCAUCCCGACUUACCAACCCGAUGCAAACUGCGAAUACCGGAGAAUGUUAUCACGGGAGACACACGGCGGGUGCUAACGUCCGUCGUGAAGAGGGAAACAACCCAGACCGCCAGCUAAGGUCCCAAAGUCAUGGUUAAGUGGGAAACGAUGUGGGAAGGCCCAGACAGCCAGGAUGUUGGCUUAGAAGCAGCCAUCAUUUAAAGAAAGCGUAAUAGCUCACUGGUCGAGUCGGCCUGCGCGGAAGAUGUAACGGGGCUAAACCAUGCACCGAAGCUGCGGCAGCGACACUAUGUGUUGUUGGGUAGGGGAGCGUUCUGUAAGCCUGUGAAGGUGGCCUGUGAGGGUUGCUGGAGGUAUCAGAAGUGCGAAUGCUGACAUAAGUAACGAUAAAGCGGGUGAAAAGCCCGCUCGCCGGAAGACCAAGGGUUCCUGUCCAACGUUAAUCGGGGCAGGGUGAGUCGACCCCUAAGGCGAGGCCGAAAGGCGUAGUCGAUGGGAAACAGGUUAAUAUUCCUGUACUUGGUGUUACUGCGAAGGGGGGACGGAGAAGGCUAUGUUGGCCGGGCGACGGUUGUCCCGGUUUAAGCGUGUAGGCUGGUUUUCCAGGCAAAUCCGGAAAACC